GUGCUCGUUUGGGCAGCGCAUAUAUUAAAAAAUUGGAACGAUACAGAGAAGAUUAGCAUGGCCCCUGUGCAAGGAUGACACACAAAUUCGUGAAGCGUUCCAUAUUUUU
rnacentral:snRNA from 1 species